rnacentral:rRNA from 1 species
AUACGUAGGUGACAAGCGUUAUCCGGAUUUACUGGGCGUAAAGGGCGUGUAGGCGGUCUUGCAAGUCAGAAGUGAAAUUCCUGAGCUCAACUCGGGCGCUGCUUCUGAAACUGCAGGACUUGAGUGCUGGAGGGGAUAGCGGAAUUCCUAGUGGAGCGGUAAAAUGCGCAGAUAUUAGGAAGAACACCGGUGGCGAAGGCGUCUAUCUGGACAUUAACUGACCCUGAGGCGCGAAAGCGUGGGGAGCAAACUGGAUUAGAUACCCUGUUAGUCCACGCCGUAAACGAUGAAUACUAGGUGUAGGGGGUAUCGACUCCCUCUGUGCCGCAGUUAACACAAUAAGUAUUCCGCCUGGGGAGUACGGCCGCAAGGUUGAAACUUAAAGGAAUUGACGGGG